GAUGAACGCUGGCGGCGUGCCUAACACAUGCAAGUCGAACGGAAAGGCCCUGCUUUUGUGGGGUUCUCGAUUGGCGAACGGGUGAGUAACACGUGAGUAACCUGCCCUUGACUUUGGGAUAACUUCACGAAACUGGGGCUAAUACCGGAUAGGAGCUCCUGCAGCAUGGUGGGCGUUGGAAAGUUUCGGCGGUUGGGGAUGGACUGGCGGCUUACGAGCUUGUUGGUGGGGUAGGGGCUGACCAAGGCUUAGACGGGUAGCCGGCCUGGGAGGGGGGACGGGCACCAUAGACCUGCGAGAGGGACCAGACUGGUAAGUGAGGCAGUAGGGGGGAAUAUUGCAGAACGGGGGGACGCGUGAGGCAACAACGCCGGGUGCGUGAAAACCGCUUUUGGGGGGAAAACAAAUUUGGACGGUAACGAAGCGUUAGUGACGGUAAUGGGUAAAAAAGCAACGGCUAACUACGUG
rnacentral:rRNA from 1 species